rnacentral:rRNA from 1 species
AUUGAACGCUGGCGGCAGGCCUAACACAUGCAAGUCGAACGAGUGGCGGACGGGUGAGUAAUGUCUGGGAAACUGCCCGAUGGAGGGGGAUAACUACUGGAAACGGUAGCUAAUACCGCAUACCAUCGGAUGUGCCCAGAUGGGAUUAGCUAGUAGGUGGGGUAACGGCUCACCUAGGCGACGAUCCCUAGCUGGUCCGAGAGGAUGACCAGCCUCCUUGGGACUGCGAGACGGCCCAGUCUCCUACGGGGGGCAGCAGUGGGGAGUAUUACACAAUGGUGGAAACCCUGAUGAAGCAACGCUGCGUGCGGGAUGACGGGUUUCGGGUUGUAAACCGCUUUCAGCCAUGACGCGGUAGUGGCAGAAGAAGCACCGGCUAACUACGUGCCAGCAGCCGCGGUAAUUC